AAGUCCAGUAACGAGCGCAACCCCUAUCCUUAUUUGCCAGCGCGUUAAGGCGGGAACUAUAGGGAGGCUGCCGGGUGAAACCCGGAGGAAGGCGGGGACGAGGUCAAGUCAUCAUGGCCCUUAUGGGUUGGGCUACACACGUGCUACAAUGGGAAGUACAGAGGGACGCUAAAGCGCGAGCUGGAGCCAAACCCUUAAAACUUUCUUAGUCCGGAUUGGAGUCUGCAACUCGACUCCAUGAAGUCGGAAUCACUAGUAAUCGCGAAUCAGAAUGUCGCGGUGAAUACGUUCUCGGGCCUU
rnacentral:rRNA from 1 species